GUUUUGUGCUGGACAGUGAAUGCACCGCAUAGAGACAGGAGUCUGAUAGCAGUUAGCAAGAAAGGCAAUGAAUCAUAAACUGCUACAUGGAUUUGGAGGAGAACGUAAGCUUAUGCUGUUAACAGGCUGGGCGAGAGGAUUCGCGUUUGUUCCUCUGUCAUUGUCGCCAUGAAAACUGCAUCAGAGAAGAGAGACAGCACGCCCACCAUCCCUGCAGGGACAGGAGGGUAAAAGUAGAGUGCUGCACCACCCCGCUGGAUCGCGGAGCUGGAUCAGGCCCUCAGCCACUCCACACAGUCAGAAAGCAACAGAAUUAAAAGAAAUGAGGGAUGAAGAUUGUGGAGCAGCGAGAAGAGAUCAGGGAUUGAAAAGAAGAGAUCAUCCUGGCUCGACUUAAUCAGAGUGAACGGCUCUAUAAUUAAACUUGUCUGAAAACAUCAUCACAGAUUUGUUUUCUUGAACGCAGCUUUGGAGGUUUGCGAUCAGGCUGAUCGUCCCAACUCUCUGAGUCAUCAGGUAAGCGGAAUAAUC
rnacentral:lncRNA from 1 species